rnacentral:snRNA from 1 species
GGAUGUGAAGGCAGUCUGGCUGCGACAUCUGUCACCCCAUUGAUCAUCAGGGUUGAUUUGGCUGAUCUGGCUGGCUAGGUGGGUGUCCCCUUCCUCCCUAACAGCUCCAUGUGUGUCCCUCCCAAAGCUGUGUGCUCAGUCAGUGAGGAUGACCAUCCCUAGUAGAGGAGGACUGGUCUUUGGUCAAGGGUAUACAAGUAGCUGCCCUCCCCCACUAGAACGUCCAAACAAGCUCUCAAAAGCACACCAUAAAAGGUGAAAAAGCAAUCCAUAAAAUGGGAGAAAAAAGUUGCAAAUCAUGUAUCUGAUAAGGGACUUGUGUCU